ACGGAAGGCAGCAGUGGGGAAUAUUGGGCAAUGGGCGAAAGCCUGACCCAGCAACGCCGCGUGAAGGAAGAAGGCCUUCGGGUUGUAAACUUCUUUUAUCAGGGACGAAGGACGUGACGGUACCUGAUGAAUAAGCCACGGUUAACUACGUGCCAGCAGCCGCGGUAAUACGUAGGUGGCGAGCGUUAUCCGGAUUUACUGGGUGUAAAGGGCGCGUAGGCGGGGAUGCAAGUCAGAUGUGAAAUCUAUGGGCUUAACCCAUAAACUGCAUUUGAAACUGUAUCUCUUGAGUGUCGGAGAGGUAGAUGGAAUUCCUAGUGUAGCGGUGAAAUGCGUAGAUAUUAGGAGGAACACCAGUGGCGAAGGCGACUUACUGGACUGUAACUGACGCUGAGGCGCGAAAGUGUGGGGAGCAAACAGGAUUAGAUACCCUGGUA
rnacentral:rRNA from 1 species